AGAUCUCGUUUUUCGGAUGAGAAUGUAGAUCUUCCACAGAACGAGCAAGGACAUCAAUCUGUGCAAGAAUCUGACAAUGAUCAAGAGGAUAUAGAAAUUGCACAGAACGAGCAAGGACAUCAUCAAUCUGUGCAAAAAUC